rnacentral:misc_RNA from 1 species
CCAAUAGCGUAUAUUAAAGUUGUUGCAGUUAAAAAGCUCGUAGUUGAACUUCGGGAUCAAUGAGUCGGUCAUGCCGUCGGUAUGUACUGAUUUUAUUGGUUCUCACCUUCUAAGGAACCGUAAUGUCAUUAGUUUGAUGUUGCGGGGAAUUAGGACUGUUACCUUGAAAAAAUUAGAGUGUUUAAAGCAGGCUAACGCUUGAAUACAUUAGCAUGGAAUAAUGAAAUAGGACAUCAGAUUCUAUUUUGUUGGUUUCUAGGAUCGAUGUAAUGAUUAAUAGGGAUAGUUGGGGGCAUUAGUAUUCAAUUGUCAGAGGUGAAAUUCUUGGAUUUAUUGAAGACUAACUACUGCGAAAGCAUUUGCCAAGGAUGUUUUCAUUAAUCAAGAACGAAAGUUAGGGGAUCGAAGACGAUCAGAUACCGUCGUAGUCUUAACCAUAAACUAUGCCGACUAGGGAUCGGAUGAUGUUAAUUUUUUAAUGACUCAUUCGGCACCUUACG